AGCUUGGUGCAGAACCAGGAGAGCCAGCCGCCUCAGUUAGAGCCUCGGAAUGAAGAUUCAGAGCACUCUGGACCCACUGAGAGACUUGCUCAUUUUCUGGGCACCAAAUAAUCCUCCCAAUUUUUAGAAAUUCUGUCAAUGGGACAUGCAUAUAAACUAGAAGAUUUGGUGCCCAGCAUGAAGAAUAGUUCCUUUCAAGUACCUGUAUGUCCUGAAUGUAUUCCUUCCAGUGGGUUCUUGGUCUCGCUGACUUCAAGAAUGAAGCCUUGGACCCUCGUGAUAUGUGCUCACCCUUCUCUGCUCAGCUCUGUGCCUGGGAGGCUGACCUCUACAAACUGCAUCACCAGGCUUCCGCCCUCUGGCUUCCAGAUGGAUUUGGCCAAUGGGCAGCACCAGUGGGAAAGGAGAGGACAGGAGGAGAGACAGGCUGAGGCCUCCCUCCUCCUGUGUCCCUGACAUACAGUGACAGUGCUGCCCUGCAGCUCAGGAUGGAUGCAGUCAAGGACGACAGCGCAUGUCCAAAAAAGCUGUCUGCUGAACAUUUGCCCAGCAGAUUUUAGAAAGAAAGGAAACAUCUUAGUGAUUUUCUUGCCUCCAGAAGAUUCCCUGAUCCAAUCUUUCCUUGGCACAAACUUUUAGUUAUUGUGUUUACAUAUACAUUUUAUAUAUGUGUGGUCAUUAUUGUAUCUGUUUUAUUUGGGGACUUUAUCUUGAUGUGUGUUAUACCUAAUACACUGCAAUAUAAAUU
rnacentral:lncRNA from 10 species